rnacentral:lncRNA from 1 species
UUGAAAUAAAAUGGUACUGGAUGUAUGAAAGUGAAAUGUUUUAAAGUUGUUGUAUGGGGUUGUAAUAGACCUCAAACCUGAGGGGCUACUAUGUAAUUUACCCUUGAUAUUAUUGAUGAGAUGCUAUGUUGUGGUGCAUUAUGAUUUCUCUGGAAAUUAUACAGGUGUUGUAACGAGGGAUUACAUGUGUUAUAUGUUUUCUAUUAGUAUUUUACUUACAUGGCCACUCACCCUUAUCUUGUCUUCACCCUCUAGGUAUUAUUAGUUAAGUUUUAUUAUCACCAAAGACUCACGGCGAUUCUUAGUAUUAGAGACUAUUUCGAGGGUACGAUUCUUAUAUCAUUUUUUUGUGUACUUGCUUAUGCUUUAACAUCACGUGUGAAGUGGGUUCAUUUCCGCUCACCAGUGCACUCUGGUAUUUAGGCACUCGUAGGUUUAAAAUUAUUCACAAUUUUCCACACCAUCACACUUUAUGGCUUCGUCACCUUCCAGGUGUCGGCCAGCACAACUUGAUUCGGAGUCCUAGUGGACAUUCCGGGUCGGGGUGUGUCAAUUUUGAUUGAAUAAAUGGAUAAAAACUAGGUGACAAUAAGAAAUAAUAAAUGGCAAAAGAAUGUAUCCAUAGUGUUAAAAAAAUUGGUACAGUUUACAAAAAAAAUGAUACAUUUCACAUAUAACAAGGUGGUACAUUAAUAAAGAAGAAUGGGCACAUUAUAAAUAAAUUAGGGUACAAAUAACAGAUUAAAAAAUUAUGAAUACAAAUGAAUUUUUAAAAAAUAUGGGCGUUAAAAGAAAUUAAUAGAUGGGUACAAAUUAAAACUAAAAAGAAAAUACUACAAAUUUAAAAAAAAAAAUGUUACAAAUUAAAAGUGGGUACAAACUAAAAAUAUAAAUAUAUGAUACAAAGUUUAGCCAUAAAACAUAUAUAUACCAUAUGUAAUUUUUCUACCAUUGAUUAAAUAUACAAAUGUCACGUGACAGUAAACACAUGGGUACAAAUACAAAUAAAACUUUAAAAAAUAUGGGUACAAAUUAAAAAAGGUUUGCAAAUUAAAAAUAAGUACAAACUAAAAAUAAAAAUAUAUGAUAAAAAAUUUAGCCAUAAAUAUAGAUAUACUAAUUGUAACAUUUUUAACAAUAAAGGAAUAUAUUUAAAAAUAAAAAUGUUUUAUUAUUCAAAUAAUUAAUGAUGCUUUUAAUACCCAAAUACCUUGAUCAAAAAUUGAAAAUGAAUAGGGUUUUAAUCAAUGUAGUAGCAAAAUGAAGAAUGUGAAUCUAAUUUUUUUUUUUUUUUAAAAGCAAGGGAAUCCAAUUCUUGUUUUUCAUGGUUUAAUUCCUUAGAUAAGAUAUUGUUUUAAGCCCUUUAAUGGAUUAAGGCAUAUAAAAGAAACAAGGAUAAAUUACAUAAAACUA